CCUGUUCCGAGCGAUGGGGCUCGCUCCAUAACCGCGGCGCGACCGUUGAUGGCUCCUACCGACGU
rnacentral:ncRNA from 2 species